rnacentral:rRNA from 1 species
AUUGAACGCUGGCGGAAUGCUUUACACAUGCAAGUCGAGCGGCAGCACGGGGGCAACCCUGGUGGCGAGCGGCGAACGGGUGAGUAAUACAUCGGAACAUGCCCAGUCGUGGGGGAUAACACUUCGAAAGAAGUGCUAAUACCGCAUACGUCCUGAGGGGGAAAGCGGGGGAUCGCAAGACCUCGCGCGAUUGGAGUGGCCGAUGUCAGAUUAGCUAGUUGGUGGGGUAAAGGCCUACCAGGGCAACGAUCUGUAGCUGGUCUGAGAGGAUGAUCAGCCACACUGGGACUGAGACACGGCCCAGACUCCUACGGGAGGCAGCAGUGGGGAAUUUUGGACAAUGGGGGCAACCCUGAUCCAGCCAUUCCGCGUGAGUGAAGAAGGCCUUCGGGUUGUAAAGCUCUUUCGGCAGGAACGAAACGGUGAGCUCUAACAUAGCUUGCUAAUGACGGUACCUGAAGAAGAAGCACCGGCUAACUACGUG